GACGAACGCUGGCGGCGUGCUUAACACAUGCAAGUCGAACGGAAAGGCCCUGCUUUGGUGGGGAGCUCGAGUUGCGAACGGGUGAGUAACACGUGAGUAACCUGCCCUUGACGUUGGGAGAACUUCAGGAAACUGGGGCUAAUACCGGAUAGGAUCUCCUGCUGCAUGGUGGGGGUUGGAAAGUUUCGGUGGUUGGGGAUGGACUCGCGGCUUAUCAGAUUGUUGGUGGGGUAGUGGCUUAGCAAGGCUAUGACGCGUAGCAUGGCUGAGCGGGGAACCUGACCCACCGCGCUUGGACUGCGGCACAGCCUACACUGCGACGCAAGGGUGCAGAAUAGAGUAUUAGAGACGGAGCGCUAGUCUAAUACCGCCGUGCCGCGUAAGACAUGCAUGGGUUAGUGUACUGCAUCCGUUUGACACGAGGUGUGAGUGACGGUAACGGGUAAAUAAGCACCGGCUAACUCCGUG
rnacentral:rRNA from 1 species